UACCAGCUGAAUUUUUAUCCUUUUAUGGUCUGCUCAACUUUUACUUGUACACGCUGGCAUUUGUCUACUCUCCUUCCAAAAAUGCCCUUUAUGACUCACAGUUGAAGGAUAAUCCAGCUUUCUCGAUGCUAAAUGACUCGGAUGAUGAAGUCAUAUAUGGGAGUGAUUAUGAAGACAUGCCUUUACAAAAUGGUCAUUCUAUCAAAGCAACUGCGAAGUACCAGGAUGAGAGUGACAGCGACUGAUGUAUGAUGUCAUCUUGCCCCUCUUCUGCAUCCCUGUUGGAAACUUAAGAGGAUCCCUUGCAACAGAUUAUCAUGUUUGUGCAUCUUCCUGUGUAACAGUUAAUUAUAUACUGUAAAUGUACAUAAAUAUAUUUUAAAAAAAAUGAUAAAUUACAUCUUCACUGAAUGUACUGUACUUUCGAAAGUUGGGGUAGC